rnacentral:rRNA from 2 species
GGUUAAGCGAAUAAGCGUACACGGUGGAUGCCCUGGCAGUCAGAGGCGAUGAAGGACGUGCUAAUCUGCGAUAAGCGUCGGUAAGGUGAUAUGAACCGUUAUAACCGGCGAUUUCCGAAUGGGGAAACCCAGUGUGAUUCGUCACACUAUCAUUAACUGAAUCCAUAGGUUAAUGAGGCGAACCGGGGGAACUGAAACAUCUAAGUACCCCGAGGAAAAGAAAUCAACCGAGAUUCCCCCAGUAGCGGCGAGCGAACGGGGAGGAGCCCAGAGCCUGAAUCAGUGUGUGUGUUAGUGGAAGCGUCUGGAAAGGCGCGCGAUACAGGGUGACAGCCCCGUACACAAAAAUGCACAUGCUGUGAGCUCGAUGAGUAGGGCGGGACACGUGGUAUCCUGUCUGAAUAUGGGGGGACCAUCCUCCAAGGCUAAAUACUCCUGACUGACCGAUAGUGAACCAGUACCGUGAGGGAAAGGCGAAAAGAACCCCGGCGAGGGGAGUGAAAAAGAACCUGAAACCGUGUACGUACAAGCAGUGGGAGCACAGAGCAAUCUGUGUGACUGCGUACCUUUUGUAUAAUGGGUCAGCGACUUAUAUUCUGUAGCAAGGUUAACCGAAUAGGGGAGCCGAAGGGAAACCGAGUCUUAACUGGGCGUUAAGUUGCAGGGUAUAGACCCGAAACCCGGUGAUCUAGCCAUGGGCAGGUUGAAGGUUGGGUAACACUAACUGGAGGACCGAACCGACUAAUGUUGAAAAAUUAGCGGAUGACUUGUGGCUGGGGGUGAAAGGCCAAUCAAACCGGGAGAUAGCUGGUUCUCCCCGAAAGCUAUUUAGGUAGCGCCUCGUGAAUUCAUCUCCGGGGGUAGAGCACUGUUUCGGCAAGGGGGUCAUCCCGACUUACCAACCCGAUGCAAACUGCGAAUACCGGAGAAUGUUAUCACGGGAGACACACGGCGGGUGCUAACGUCCGUCGUGAAGAGGGAAACAACCCAGACCGCCAGCUAAGGUCCCAAAGUCAUGGUUAAGUGGGAAACGAUGUGGGAAGGCCCAGACAGCCAGGAUGUUGGCUUAGAAGCAGCCAUCAUUUAAAGAAAGCGUAAUAGCUCACUGGUCGAGUCGGCCUGCGCGGAAGAUGUAACGGGGCUAAACCAUGCACCGAAGCUGCGGCAGCGACGCUGAUGCGUUGUUGGGUAGGGGAGCGUUCUGUAAGCCUGUGAAGGUGUGCUGUGAGGCAUGCUGGAGGUAUCAGAAGUGCGAAUGCUGACAUAAGUAACGAUAAAGCGGGUGAAAAGCCCGCUCGCCGGAAGACCAAGGGUUCCUGUCCAACGUUAAUCGGGGCAGGGUGAGUCGACCCCUAAGGCGAGGCCGAAAGGCGUAGUCGAUGGGAAACAGGUUAAUAUUCCUGUACUUGGUGUUACUGCGAAGGGGGGACGGAGAAGGCUAUGUUGGCCGGGCGACGGUUGUCCCGGUUUAAGCGUGUAGGCUGGUUUUCCAGGCAAAUCCGGAAAACUAAGGCUGAGGCGUGAUGACGAGGCACUACGGUGCUGAAGCAACAAAUGCCCUGCUUCCAGGAAAAGCCUCUAAGCAUCAGGUAACAUCAAAUCGUACCCCAAACCGACACAGGUGGUCAGGUAGAGAAUACCAAGGCGCUUGAGAGAACUCGGGUGAAGGAACUAGGCAAAAUGGUGCCGUAACUUCGGGAGAAGGCACGCUGAUAUGUAGGUGAAGUCCCUCGCGGAUGGAGCUGAAAUCAGUCGAAGAUACCAGCUGGCUGCAACUGUUUAUUAAAAACACAGCACUGUGCAAACACGAAAGUGGACGUAUACGGUGUGACGCCUGCCCGGUGCCGGAAGGUUAAUUGAUGGGGUCAGCGCAAGCGAAGCUCUUGAUCGAAGCCCCGGUAAACGGCGGCCGUAACUAUAACGGUCCUAAGGUAGCGAAAUUCCUUGUCGGGUAAGUUCCGACCUGCACGAAUGGCGUAAUGAUGGCCAGGCUGUCUCCACCCGAGACUCAGUGAAAUUGAACUCGCUGUGAAGAUGCAGUGUACCCGCGGCAAGACGGAAAGACCCCGUGAACCUUUACUAUAGCUUGACACUGAACAUUGAGCCUUGAUGUGUAGGAUAGGUGGGAGGCUUUGAAGUGUGGACGCCAGUCUGCAUGGAGCCGACCUUGAAAUACCACCCUUUAAUGUUUGAUGUUCUAACGUUGACCCGUAAUCCGGGUUGCGGACAGUGUCUGGUGGGUAGUUUGACUGGGGCGGUCUCCUCCUAAAGAGUAACGGAGGAGCACGAAGGUUGGCUAAUCCUGGUCGGACAUCAGGAGGUUAGUGCAAUGGCAUAAGCCAGCUUGACUGCGAGCGUGACGGCGCGAGCAGGUGCGAAAGCAGGUCAUAGUGAUCCGGUGGUUCUGAAUGGAAGGGCCAUCGCUCAACGGAUAAAAGGUACUCCGGGGAUAACAGGCUGAUACCGCCCAAGAGUUCAUAUCGACGGCGGUGUUUGGCACCUCGAUGUCGGCUCAUCACAUCCUGGGGCUGAAGUAGGUCCCAAGGGUAUGGCUGUUCGCCAUUUAAAGUGGUACGCGAGCUGGGUUUAGAACGUCGUGAGACAGUUCGGUCCCUAUCUGCCGUGGGCGCUGGAGAACUGAGGGGGGCUGCUCCUAGUACGAGAGGACCGGAGUGGACGCAUCACUGGUGUUCGGGUUGUCAUGCCAAUGGCACUGCCCGGUAGCUAAAUGCGGAAGAGAUAAGUGCUGAAAGCAUCUAAGCACGAAACUUGCCCCGAGAUGAGUUCUCCCUGACUCCUUGAGAGUCCUGAAGGAACGUUGAAGACGACGACGUUGAUAGGCCGGGUGUGUAAGCGCAGCGAUGCGUUGAGCUAACCGGUACUAAUGAACCGUGAGGCUUAACCUU